rnacentral:rRNA from 1 species
CAACAGCUCAAAUUUGAAAUCUGGUCCCUUCGGGGCCCGAGUUGUAAUUUGUAGAGGGUGCUUCGGGCGCGAUGCCGGUCUAAGUUCCUUGGAACAGGACGUCGUAGAGGGUGAGAAUCCCGUAUGCGACCGGCAAUCAAGCCCGUGCGAAGCCCCUUCGACGAGUCGAGUUGUUUGGGAAUGCAGCUCAAAACGGGUGGUAAAUUUCAUCUAAAGCUAAAUAUUGGCCAGAGACCGAUAGCGGACAAGUAGAGUGAUCGAAAGAUGAAAAGCACUUUGGAAAGAGAGUCAAACAGUACGUGAAAUUGUUGAAAGGGAAGCGCUUGCAAUCAGACCGGUCCGGAGGCGAUCAGCCGCUGCUCGUCAGCGGUGCACUCGCCUGCGAUCCGGCCAGCAUCGGUUUGGGCGGCGGGAUAAAAGUCCCGGGAAUGUAGCUUCUCCCGGGGAGUCUUAUAGCCCGGGUCGCAAUGCCGCCCGCCCGGACCGAGGACCGCGCUUCGGCUAGGAUGCUGGCGUAAUGGUUGCAAGCG